ACUCAAAUAGCUUAAGAAAGAGUAUAAUAUUGAAGCUAUUAAGGUGGUAAAGUAUCUUUGAGUA
rnacentral:tRNA from 1 species